UACAGAGGUCUCAAGCGUUGUUCGGAUUCAUUGGGCGUAAAGGGUGCGUAGGCGGCGCGGUAAGUCGGGUGUGAAAUCUCGGAGCUUAACUCCGAAACUGCAUUCGAUACUGCCGUGCUUGAGGACUGGAGUGGAGACUGGAAUUUACGGUGUAGCGGUGAAAUGCGUAGAUAUCGUAAGGAAGACCAGUGGCGAAGGCGGGUCUCUGGACAGUUCCUGACGCUGAGGCACGAAGGUCAGGGGAGCAAACGGG
rnacentral:rRNA from 1 species